AAUACUCUAUUGGGAUCCUCCCCUGAGACCUCCAGGCCUCUUUCACGCUGAAAUGGGAGCUGCCAAAGCAUUUGGGUGGGGCCACCGCCCACACUUCACGGGGCCAAGCUGCGGGCAGAAAGGGUGCUGGUCAUUUUCACGGAGGCUCCAGAGCUCAAGCUGGGUUGUUCUGGAUGGAGAGCUGUGUGGAAUGCAGGUCUGACCACAGCUGUCUGAGCAGCCUCAUCACACUGCGACUCAUAUGAAGCUGUCCUGGGUCUUUGUGGAGCUGCUAGCAACCAUCUCACCCUUCCAGGCCCGCCGCUGCCAGCGUUUGGAUUGUAGAAAAGGACAUGACAUCUACUGGUGUUUAGGAAGAAGACUCCCUGAGCCAGUUCCCAUUGAUCACGACAACAUACCAAACACGAAGUUGUCCGGCC